AACGAACGCUGGCGGCAGGCCUAACACAUGCAAGUCGAGCGGGACCUUCGGGUCUAGCGGCGGACGGGUUAGUAACGCGUGGGAACGUGCCCAAAGGUACGGAAUAGCCUCGGGAAACUGAGAGUAAUACCGUAUGUGCCCCUCGGGGGAAAGAUUUAUCGCCUUUGGAUCGGCCCGCGUUGGAUUAGGUAGUUGGUGGGGUAAUGGCCUACCAAGCCGACGAUCCAUAGCUGGUUUGAGAGGAUGAUCAGCAACACUGGGACUGAGACACGGCCCAGACUCCUACGGGAGGCAGCAGUGGGGAAUCUUAGACAAUGGGGGAAACCCUGAUCUAGCCAUGCCGCGUGAGCGAUGAAGGCCUUAGGGUUGUAAAGCUCUUUCAGAUGGGAAGAUAAUGACGGUACCAUCAGAAGAAGCCCGGCUAACUCCGUG
rnacentral:rRNA from 1 species